rnacentral:rRNA from 1 species
UUCGAAGCAACGCGCAGAACCUUACCAGCCCUUGACAUCCCGGUCGCGGAUCGCAGAGAUGCUUUCCUCAGUUCGGCUGGACCGGUGACAGGUGCUGCAUGGCUGUCGUCAGCUCGUGUCGUGAGAUGUUGGGUUAAGUCCCGCAACGAGCGCAACCCCCGCCUUCAGUUGCCAACGGUUCGGCCGUGCACUCUGGAGGAACUGCCUGUGACAAGCAGGAGGAAGGUGGGGAUGACGUCAAGUCCUCAUGGCCCUUAUGGGCUGGGCUACACACGUGCUACAAUGGCGGUGACAGAGGGAUGCAAUACCGCGAGGUGGAGCAAAUCCCUAAAAGCCGUCUCAGUUCGGAUUGUUCUCUGCAACUCGAGAGCAUGAAGUUGGAAUCGCUAGUAAUCGCGGAUCAGCUCGCCGCGGUGAAUACGUUCCCGGGCCUU